rnacentral:rRNA from 1 species
AUGGCCGCGGUACUUUGACCGUGCUAAGGUAGCGUAAUCAGUUGGCUCUUAAUUGGGGUCAGGAAUGAAUGGAGUCACGGGGCUUUACUGUCUUUUUGCUAAUAAUUUGAAGUUACUAUGUAAGUGAAAAAGCUUAUAUUUAGAAAAAGGACGAGAAGACCCUUAGAGUUUUAYUAAAUUAUAAAUUAUUAUUUAUAUCAGUUUGGUUGGGGCAACCUGGGAUGCAUAUUAUUUUUGAUAAUCUCUCUAAUGUAUACACACCGAUUAUAUUAAAUUUGUAUAAACUACCUUAGGGAUAACAGCAUAAUUUUAUAUUGAAGUUUGUGACCUCGAUGUUGGACUAGGAAACUGAAAGGCUAGCCGUCUUUUAGGAAAGUUCUGUUCGAACUAUUAUUCCUACAUGAUCUGAGUU